rnacentral:rRNA from 1 species
UACGUAGGGAGCAAGCGUUGUUCGGAUUUACUGGGCGUAAAGGGCGCGUAGGCGGCAAAUUAAGUCAGCUGUGAAAUCUCCGAGCUUAACUCGGAACUGUCAGCUGAUACUGAUCUGCUAGAGUGCGGAAGGGGCAAUCGGAAUUCUUGGUGUAGCGGUGAAAUGCGUAGAUAUCAAGAGGAACACCUGAGGUGAAGACGGGUUGCUGGGCCGACACUGACGCUGAGUGCGCGAAAGCUAGGGGAGCAAACAGG